GCUCUUGUCUUUGGAAAUAUUGGGCAGGGAGAAAGGGUGCUUUUAGAACCGAGCUGUUCAGGGUCCCAGAUCCUCUAAUGUAAUGCCAGCUGAACCCAGACAGUGACUUCCACCUCCAUGAAUGCAGGUAGGCACUGAUACAGGAAAAAAUUCAAUGUUCUCCUGAAAAGUUGAUUGGCAGUCAAAUUAAGGUAAAUUAAAAUAAAUACUCAAUGCAAUAAUGGAGCUCGAUCUUUAUAGAACUCUAUGAGUAAUCAUUUUGCAAGAUCAGGAUUUCUUGGAGAAGCAUGCUGAUUCAAGUGACUUAAGCUGGAAUUCCAGCUCUACCCCUUAUGGCUUUGUGAAUGUUGUUAAGGGAUGUAACCUUAAGGAAUCUGUCUUCUCACCUAUAAAAUUAACAUGUAUUAAUAAAAUCUGAUUGGGGAGAUUCUAUUAAAAUGAGUUAAUGAAUAUAUAA
rnacentral:lncRNA from 1 species